UUAAGCGACUAAGCGUACACGGUGGAUGCCCUGGCAGUCAGAGGCGAUGAAGGGCGUGCUAAUCUGCGAUAAGCGCCGGUAAGGUGAUAUGAACCGUUAUAACCGGCGAUACCCGAAUGGGGAAACCCAGUGUGACUCGUCACACUAUCAUUAACUGAAUCCAUAGGUUAAUGAGGCGAACCGGGGGAACUGAAACAUCUAAGUACCCCGAGGAAAAGAAAUCAACCGAGAUUCCCCCAGUAGCGGCGAGCGAACGGGGAGGAGCCCAGAGCCUGAAUCAGCAUGUGUGUUAGUGGAAGCGUCUGGAAAGGCGCGCGAUACAGGGUGACAGCCCCGUACACAAAAGCGCAUGUGCUGUGAGCUCGAUGAGUAGGGCGGGACACGUGGUAUCCUGUCUGAAUAUGGGGGGACCAUCCUCCAAGGCUAAAUACUCCUGACUGACCGAUAGUGAACCAGUACCGUGAGGGAAAGGCGAAAAGAACCCCGGCGAGGGGAGUGAAAAAGAACCUGAAACCGUGUACGUACAAGCAGUGGGAGCCCCACCACCAAAGCGUUUCGCUUUGUGUGGUGCACAAAGAAGCGUAACGACAGCACUGAAUGACGGUUAACGGAGCGCAAGCGACGUUCAACAUACAAAGUCAAGCAGUGGAGCGCUUUGGGGUGGGGUGACUGCGUACCUUUUGUAUAAUGGGUCAGCGACUUAUAUUCUGUAGCAAGGUUAACCGAAUAGGGGAGCCGGAGGGAAACCGAGUCUUAAUUGGGCGUUAAGUUGCAGGGUAUAGACCCGAAACCCGGUGAUCUAGCCAUGGGCAGGUUGAAGGUUGGGUAACACUAACUGGAGGACCGAACCGACUAAUGUUGAAAAAUUAGCGGAUGACCUGUGGCUGGGGGUGAAAGGCCAAUCAAACCGGGAGAUAGCUGGUUCUCCCCGAAAGCUAUUUAGGUAGCGCCUCGUGAAUUCAUCUCCGGGGGUAGAGCACUGUUUCGGCUAGGGGGCCAUCCCGGCUUACCAACCCGAUGCAAACUGCGAAUACCGGAGAAUGUUAUCACGGGAGACACACGGCGGGUGCUAACGUCCGUCGUGAAGAGGGAAACAACCCAGACCGCCAGCUAAGGUCCCAAAGUCAUGGUUAAGUGGGAAACGAUGUGGGAAGGCCCAGACAGCCAGGAUGUUGGCUUAGAAGCAGCCAUCAUUUAAAGAAAGCGUAAUAGCUCACUGGUCGAGUCGGCCUGCGCGGAAGAUGUAACGGGGCUAAACCAUGCACCGAAGCUGCGGCAGCGACGCUUAUGCGUUGUUGGGUAGGGGAGCGUUCUGUAAGCCUGUGAAGGUGGCCUGUGAGGGUUGCUGGAGGUAUCAGAAGUGCGAAUGCUGACAUAAGUAACGAUAAAGCGGGUGAAAAGCCCGCUCGCCGGAAGACCAAGGGUUCCUGUCCAACGUUAAUCGGGGCAGGGUGAGUCGACCCCUAAGGCGAGGCCGAAAGGCGUAGUCGAUGGGAAACGGGUUAAUAUUCCCGUACUUGGUGUUACUGCGAAGGGGGGACGGAGAAGGCUAUGUUGGCCGGGCGACGGUUGUCCCGGUUUAAGCGUGUAGGUGUGUGUUCCAGGUAAAUCCGGUUCACUUUAACACUGAGGCGUGAUGACGAGGCACUACGGUGCUGAAGCAACAAAUGCCCUGCUUCCAGGAAAAGCCUCUAAGCAUCAGGUAACAUCAAAUCGUACCCCAAACCGACACAGGUGGUCAGGUAGAGAAUACCAAGGCGCUUGAGAGAACUCGGGUGAAGGAACUAGGCAAAAUGGUGCCGUAACUUCGGGAGAAGGCACGCUGACANGUAGGUGAAGUGAUUUACUCAUGGAGCUGAAGUCAGUCGAAGAUACCAGCUGGCUGCAACUGUUUAUUAAAAACACAGCACUGUGCAAACACGAAAGUGGACGUAUACGGUGUGACGCCUGCCCGGUGCCGGAAGGUUAAUUGAUGGGGUCAGCGCAAGCGAAGCUCCUGAUCGAAGCCCCGGUAAACGGCGGCCGUAACUAUAACGGUCCUAAGGUAGCGAAAUUCCUUGUCGGGUAAGUUCCGACCUGCACGAAUGGCGUAAUGAUGGCCAGGCUGUCUCCACCCGAGACUCAGUGAAAUUGAACUCGCUGUGAAGAUGCAGUGUACCCGCGGCAAGACGGAAAGACCCCGUGAACCUUUACUAUAGCUUGACACUGAACAUUGAGCCUUGAUGUGUAGGAUAGGUGGGAGGCUUUGAAGNUGGAGCCGACCUUGAAAUACCACCCUUUAAUGUUUGAUGUUCUAACGUGGACCCGUAAUCCGGGUUGCGGACAGUGUCUGGUGGGUAGUUUGACUGGGGCGGUCUCCUCCUAAAGAGUAACGGAGGAGCACGAAGGUUGGCUAAUCCUGGUCGGACAUCAGGAGGUUAGUGCAAUGGCAUAAGCCAGCUUGACUGCGAGCGUGACGGCGCGAGCAGGUGCGAAAGCAGGUCAUAGUGAUCCGGUGGUUCUGAAUGGAAGGGCCAUCGCUCAACGGAUAAAAGGUACUCCGGGGAUAACAGGCUGAUACCGCCCAAGAGUUCAUAUCGACGGCGGUGUUUGGCACCUCGAUGUCGGCUCAUCACAUCCUGGGGCUGAAGUAGGUCCCAAGGGUAUGGCUGUUCGCCAUUUAAAGUGGUACGCGAGCUGGGUUUAGAACGUCGUGAGACAGUUCGGUCCCUAUCUGCCGUGGGCGCUGGAGAACUGAGGGGGGCUGCUCCUAGUACGAGAGGACCGGAGUGGACGCAUCACUGGUGUUCGGGUUGUCAUGCCAAUGGCACUGCCCGGUAGCUAAAUGCGGAAGAGAUAAGUGCUGAAAGCAUCUAAGUACGAAACUUGCCCCGAGAUGAGUUCUCCCUGAGACUUUAGGUCUCCUGAAGGAACGUUGAAGACGACGACGUUGAUAGGCCGGGUGUGUAAGCGCAGCGAUGCGUUGAGCUAACCGGUACUAAUGAACCGUGAGGCUUAACCUU
rnacentral:rRNA from 1 species